rnacentral:rRNA from 1 species
GUGGGGAAUCUUGCGCAAUGGGCGAAAGCCUGACGCAGCCAUGCCGCGUGAAUGAUGAAGGUCUUAGGAUUGUAAAAUUCUUUCACCGGGGACGAUAAUGACGGUACCCGGAGAAGAAGCUCCGGCUAACUUCGUGCCAGCAGCCGCGGUAAUACGAAGGGGGCUAGCGUUGCUCGGAAUUACUGGGCGUAAAGGGCGCGUAGGCGGACAGCUUAGUCAGAGGUGAAAGCCCAGGGCUCAACCUUGGAAUUGCCUUUGAUACUGGCUGUCUUGAGUUUGGGAGAGGUGAGUGGAACUCCGAGUGUAGAGGUGAAAUUCGUAGAUAUUCGGAAGAACACCAGUGGCGAAGGCGACUCACGGGCCCAAUACUGACGCUGAGGCGCGAAAGCGUGGGGAGCAAACAGGAUUAGAUACCCUAGUAGUCC